rnacentral:ncRNA from 1 species
UCUGGUUUCUUGCUUCUCCAUAAAAAAGCAAGUGGUGCGGAUGGGGUAACCCCGCCUGGUUUCUUGCCUCCAGUCAAAGGGCAAGUGGCGAGCCUGAGU